rfam:Ricinus communis cultivar Hale ctg_1100012337985, whole genome shotgun sequence.
AGACCGUGGUGCGGGAAACAUCGGAGCAAGUCUUUGUACCUCUUCCAAGCAUCGUACAUGCUCUCAUCAUCGAACUGCAUAAAAGAAGAUAUAUCAUUUCUCAAUCU